GAUGAACGCUGGCGGCGUGCCUAAUACAUGCGAGUCGAGCGAACAGACGAGGAGCUUGCUCCUCUGACGUUAGCGGCGGACGGGUGAGUAACACGUGGAUAACCUACCUAUAAGACUGGGAUAACUUCGGGAAACCGGAGCUAAUACCGGAUAAUAUAUUGAACCGCAUGGUUCAAUAGUGAAAGACGGUUUUGCUGUCACUUAUAGAUGGAUCCGCGCCGCAUUAGCUAGUUGGUAAGGUAACGGCUUACCAAGGCGACGAUGCGUAGCCGACCUGAGAGGGUGAUCGGCCACACUGGAACUGAGACACGGUCCAGACUCCUACGGGAGGCAGCAGCAGGGAAUCUUCCGCAAUGGGCGAAAGCCUGACGGAGCAACGCCGCGUGAGGGAGGAAGGUCUUCGGAUCGUAAAACUCUGUUAUUAGGGAAGAACAAAUGUGUAAGUAACUAUGCACGUCUUGACGGUACCUAAUCAGAAAGCCACGGCUAACUACGUG
rnacentral:rRNA from 1 species